rnacentral:precursor_RNA from 1 species
GAUCAUUCUUUGUGCGUGUGAUGGUUCUGCUGUCUGUAGGAUGAUGAUAGGUAGAACUUCGGUUUGGAUUCAGUCGAUUCCCUCGCGAUCAGGCUUGUGGCCGAUCGUCGGUAGGGCCUGUCGUCUGUUAACCUCGAGGCUAGGAUGUGGGUGAUUGUGACUUUCAGUGGCGAUUCAGUUCGAUUCGCUCGAGAGCAGGUUUGUGGCCGAUUCGUAAGGGCCUGUCGUCUGUUAACCUCGAGGCUAGGAUGUCGGUGAUUGUGACCUUCAGUGGCCUAGCGCGCUCUUGAAGGAAGAAUAUGGCUACCAAUUGCAGGUUGAUUUAGAGUCGUUUGUGUAAUUCUGCGCUUCCAAGGGAUCUUAUUCUUUAAGUGUUAUCCAGGUAACUCAUGAUCAUGAGACGUCUUUGAGGAAAUAUUGUUCUGGCAGCUUUUUAGUUCUGUCGGAUUGUGUAUUUUUGAUCUGUUUACCCGUAUGCCGUCCAUAGAGGGAGGACCAGAGCUGUCUACGGCUCGCGAGUUUUCGUUCGAACGUCCGCAUGAGAUGUGAGGUUCAGUUUUUGUGAAUCUGUAUGCUUUGCCAGAGUGGACUUUCCCGUCGUUUCCUCUGCUUUGGUUUAGUCUAGAGGUUAUUUUCACCAUGGGAAGAACUAGUAUUCGUUUGAGUAUUUAGCUACUCAGACCCUUGCCGAUUUCCGUAUUACGAUAGAGACUUCCCUUCAUCUGUGAUCUAUCUACUCUCUUUCGAUUUGCACUAAAUUUAUUUAGAGUGUCUCACAGUACUUUCUUUAGCACUUUGGGACUUGGGGGGAAGUGGAAGAUUUUCUUCGCGUAGUAGGCAAGUUCGAUUUUUUUGCGUAAGUUGCAUUUAGCUUUGUUCGGAUUUUGGGUUAGAAGGGAAAGUUCUCUCUGGCGAAGCUUACAGCUUUGUGCACUUUCAGAUGCCGCAUUCAGGUGAGUGAAACUGGGAGCCUUCUUGAAUGUGUUGUUCCCGAGUGCUUUUGAGUUUUAUCUUAUCGUGUGGUUACUUUUAUGGUCGAAACCUAGUAGGUUUCAUCUUGUGCGGGAUGUGGACUUCCCGGGGAUGGAUUACUUACGACGAGGAGACUUUGCGGAAGUGGAUGUGUUCCUUUGGGAGGACCUUUGUCGUACUGGAACAUGAGUAUCGUGGUGACGGAUUCCUUGCUGUCGACCUGUGAUUGUCCGUUUUAUAGUCGAAACCUAUUAAUAGAUUCCAUCUUGUUUUUGAUGUUCAGGGUUUUUCAGUGAACGCUCGUAUCCGCUCAGGGUCUGCGAUGUUGGAUGUUUUGCUGGUGGAGGGUAUUUGUCGUAUGGGGCCAUCAGUUUGUGAAAAUGGAUUCCUUGCUAGAGAGGACUUUCCUUUCUUGUCAUUUGUUGAUUGAGGGUAUUGUUGGUGAGAUGCCCUUUGUUCAUCAAGAAAAAUGAACUUGAACAGAAAGUCUUCUCUAGUAAAGUCUCCAUAUUGACGAUAUUCGGAUUCGGAUGGAAUGGUGAGAAAGGAGUGAAAGAAUUGGUGAUCAUCCACACUAAGGGAUGUAAACCAUCAGAUCGAUAAAUAUAAACUGAUGAAUAGACAAUGGAUGUAAAUGUUGGGAAGAUAUAAUAUUUUGCCUGUUAUAUUUCAGACAAUUGCUCUACUUCACUAUUGACUCAGCCUUUAUAGUGCCAAAUCCUAUGUGAAUUUUCGCAAGACUUAUAGACGUUAUUUCAAUUCUGUAUAUUUGUGAAAUUUGUUUAUGAUAGGACAUAAGCAUCAUCACCAAUGAUGGAACACCGUGGUCAUUAACUAUAGGCUACAAUACUUGUUCAACAAAGUGCCAUCGCUUUGGUCAUGAGUUUUGAUGAUUGUUUAUCAGUAUGGUGGUUUUUUCAUGCUGGAGAACGCAAUGUGUGCAUACUUGUUUGGGAAGAUGCCACCACUCAUGGAUUUUGACAUUUGUAUCACCUAGCAGUUGGUUUGCAUGGUUAAAAAGUGAAAUGAUGGUAGAACAAUUGAUGUUUAGAUAAUAUAGCAAACCAUCCUCAUCAAACUAUUUAGCUUGAAAUUUAGAACUCUUACAUGUUCAAAGUAAUUUCCCUUUCAUUAUGGCAUACAUUCUGGCAUGAAUAUCUUAUUAUGAUGAUUCCAUCUUUAUCUAGUCUCAAACAACUGAACAUAUGUGUUAACGUGACUCAUCUUUGUCAAAUGAAUAGAUUCUUAUUGCAUCUAGACUCUAUACAUUGAAGGUACAGAUGAUAACAUGAUCAUCAUCAUUUUCAAAGAAAUUGAUGUUGGCUUCUCUAGAUAAAUUACAAAUACUUAGUGAAAUAUCACUAUAUAAUCAUUUUGUUGAUUCAGUUGUUCGAGGCUUUAUUCUUCCAAUUGAGUAACAAUUGUGCCUAUUAAUACAUUAUGUUGCAUUAAUAUUAAUACUCUUGAAAUCUCG